rnacentral:sRNA from 1 species
UACCAACACUACAAGAAAACAGGUAAACGACGACUACAAUCAGCGACAACAAACGUAGUCGUAACAUUAUACGACUAUUUGGCCACGGAUUUACGACUCGCAUGCGACAACACGAAAAAUUGUAGUUACAUAGUCGUUGUUUUACGACUAUCGUAUGCAGUCGGCAAAGAGUCGGCAAGUAACGACUAUUUGAUGAUUAAAUUAUUGAAGGGAUAAUGUUGUCGUUGCUUAGUCGCUAAUUAACGACUAUUCUACCGUCUAUUUUAUUUAGUCGCUAAUUUGACGACUACAGGACGACUAGACGUCUUAGUCGGCCUGUAGUCGUAGAAACGUCGCACCAUAGUCGUAUAAAGUAGAUGGAAAACGUGUUUCGCAUUGGUAAGUAGGUACAGCUAACUAUUUAGUUGUAGUCGUAAAUUAGUCACAAAAAUUGGCCUAUAUAAUAAACGUUCACGCAACUCUUCUUUCACCAACAAAUCAAAACAACAACAACAUCAAAGAGAAAAAAA